rnacentral:rRNA from 1 species
UAGAGUUCCUUCCUGGCUCAGAGCGAACGCUGGCGGCAGGCUUAACACAUGCAAGUCGAACGGGCAUAGCAAUAUGUCAGUGGCAGACGGGUGAGUAACGCGUGGGAACAUACCUCUUGGUUCGGAACAACACAGGGAAACUUGUGCUAAUACCGGAUAAGCCCUUACGGGGAAAGAUUUAUCGCCGAGAGAUUGGCCCGCGUCUGAUUAGCUAGUUGGUGUGGUAAAGGCGCACCAAGGCGACGAUCAGUAGCUGGUCUGAGAGGAUGAUCAGCCACAUUGGGACUGAGACACGGUCCAGACUCCUACGGGAGGCAGCAGUGAGGAAUUUUCUGCAAUGGGCGAAAGCCUGACAGAGCAAUACCGCGUGAGGGAUGAAGACUUACUGAGUUGUAAACCUCGGUACCUUAAGGAAGAAGAUAUGACGGUACUUAAGGUGGAAAGCAUCAGCUAACUCCGUGCCAGCAGCCGCGGUAAGACGGGGGAUGCAAGUGUUAUCCGGAUUUACUGGGCGUAAGGCGUCUGCAGGUGGUUUCUUAAGUCUACUGUUAAAUCUUGAGGCUCAACCUCAAAUCUGCAGUAGAAACUAGGAGACUUGAGUAUAGUAGGGGUAGAGGGAAUUUCCAGUGGAGCGGUGAAAUGCGUAGAUAUUGGGAAGAACACCAGUGGCGAAGGCGGCUCACUGGUCCGAUACUGACGCUGAGGUGCGAAAGCGUGGGGAGCAAACAAAAUUAGAUACCCUGGUAGUCCAUGCCGUAAACGUUGGGCGCUAGAUGUAGGGACCUUUCCACGGUUUCUGUGUCGUAGCUAACGCACUAAGCGCCCCGCCUGGGGAGUACGGCCGCAAGGCUAAAACUCAAAGGAAUUGACGGGGGCCCGCACAAGCGGCGGAGCAUGCGGAUUAAUUCGAUGCAACGCGAAGAACCUUACCAAGGCUUGACAUACACCGGAAACGGCCAGAGAUGGUCGCCCCCCCGUGGUCGGUGUACAGGUGGUGCAUGGUUGUCGUCAGCUCGUGUCGUGAGAUGUUGGGUUAAGUCCCGCAACGAGCGCAACCCUCGUUCUAUGUUGCCAGCGGGUUAUGCCGGGGACUCAUAGGAGACUGCCGGGGUCAACUCGGAGGAAGGUGGGGAGGACGUCAAGUCCUCAUGGCCCUCAUAGGUGGGGGUACACACGUCAUACAAUGGCUGGUACAAAGGGUUGCCAACCCGCGAGGGGGAGGUAAUCCCACAAAGCCAGUCGUAGUCCGGAUCGUAGUCUGCAACUCGACUACGUGAAGUCGGAAUCGCUAGUAAUCGUGGAUCAGAAUGUCACGGUGAAUAAAAUCCCGGGUCUUGCACACACCGCCCGUCA